GACGAACGCUGGCGGCGUGCUUAACACAUGCAAGUCGAGCGAAUUAGAGGCAGGAGCCGAGAGGCAAGAAGUUAGAGAAGGAGAAGAAACUCCUAUAGAGUUUCUAGAUUAAAAAAACUCGCUUCCCGCUUCUCGCAUCCUGCUUCUGAUUAGCGGCGGAUGGGUGAGUAACGCGUGGGAAACCUACCUUUUAGAGGGGGAUAGCCUCGAGAAAUCGGGAUUAAUACCCCAUAAUACUUAAUCUUUGCAUGAAGGCUAAGUCAAAGCGAUCCAGCGCUAAAAGAUGGUCCCGCGUCCCAUUAGCUAGUUGGUGAGAUAACAGCUCACCAAGGCAACGAUGGGUAGCCGACCUGAGAGGGUGAUCGGCCACACUGGGACUGAGACACGGCCCAGACUCCUACGGGAGGCAGCAGUGGGGAAUAUUGCGCAAUGGGGGGAACCCUGACGCAGCAACGCCGCGUGAGCGAUGAAGGCCUUCGGGUCGUAAAGCUCUGUCUUAAGGGAUGAUAAUGACAGUACCUUAAGAGGAAGCCCCGGCUAACUACGUGCCAGCAGCCGCGGUAAUACGUAGGGGGCGAGCGUUGUCCGGAAUUACUGGGUGUAAAGGGCCCGUAGGCGGUUAUUUAAGUCAGCUGUGAAAGUCCAGGGCUUAACCCUGGAAUUGCAAUUGAAACUGAAUAACUUGAGAUAAGGAGAGGAGAGCGGAAUUCCUAGUGUAGCGGUGAAAUGCGUAGAUAUUAGGAAGAACACCAGUGGCGAAGGCGGCUCUCUGGCCUUACCCUGACGCUGAGGGGCGAAAGCGUGGGUAGCGAACAGGAUUAGAUACCCUGGUAGUCCACGCCGUAAACGAUGAGUGCUAGGUGUUGGGUGUCAAAGCUCAGUGCCGGAGUUAACACAAUAAGCACUCCACCUGGGGAGUACGACCGCAAGGUUGAAACUCAAAGGAAUUGACGGGGGCCCGCACAAGCAGCGGAGCAUGUGGUUUAAUUCGAAGCAACGCGAAGAACCUUACCAGGACUUGACAUCGUCUGCUAGUUCAAGAGAUUGGACCUUCCCUUCGGGGACAGAUAGACAGGUGGUGCAUGGUUGUCGUCAGCUCGUGUCGUGAGAUGUUGGGUUAAGUCCCGCAACGAGCGCAACCCCUGUAUUUAGUUGCCAUCAGGUAGAGCUGGGCACUCUAGAUAGACUGCCGUAGAGAAUACGGAGGAAGGUGGGGAUGACGUCAAAUCAUCAUGCCCCUUAUGUCCUGGGCUACACACGUGCUACAAUGGUCUGUACAACGGGAAGCGAAGGAGUGAUCUGAAGCCAAUCCCAAAAAACAGAUCCCAGUUCGGAUUGCAGGCUGCAACUCGCCUGCAUGAAGUCGGAGUUGCUAGUAAUCGCGGAUCAGCAUGCCGCGGUGAAUGCGUUCCCGGGCCUUGUACACACCGCCCGUCACACCACGAGAGUUGGCAACACCCGAAGUCAGUGAGUUAACCAUAAAGGAGACAGCUGCCGAAGGUGGGGCUAGCGAUUGGGGUG
rnacentral:rRNA from 1 species